AUUGAACGCUGGCGGCAUGCCUUACACAUGCAAGUCGAACGGCAGCACGGGAGCAAUCCUGGUGGCGAGUGGCGAACGGGUGAGUAAUAUAUCGGAACGUGCCCAGUCGUGGGGGAUAACGUAGCGAAAGCUACGCUAAUACCGCAUACGAUCUACGGAUGAAAGCGGGGGAUCGCAAGACCUCGCGCGAUUGGAGCGGCCGAUAUCAGAUUAGCUAGUUGGUGGGGUAAAAGCUCACCAAGGCGACGAUCUGUAGCUGGUCUGAGAGGACGACCAGCCACACUGGAACUGAGACACGGUCCAGACUCCUACGGGAGGCAGCAGUGGGGAAUUUUGGACAAUGGGCGCAAGCCUGAUCCAGCAAUGCCGCGUGCAGGAUGAAGGCCUUCGGGUUGGUAAACUGACUUUUGUACGGUAACGAAAAGGACUCUGGUUAAUACCUAGGGGCGUCAUGACGGUACCGUAAGAAUAAGCAACCGGCUAACUACGUAGCC
rnacentral:rRNA from 1 species